rnacentral:rRNA from 1 species
UAUUGGUCAAUGGGCUUAAGCCUGAACCAGCCAAGUCGCGUGAGGGAUGAAGGAUCUAUGGUUCGUAAACCUCUUUUAUAAGGGAAUAAAGUGCGGGACGUGUCCUGUUUUGUAUGUACCUUAUGAAUAAGGAUCGGCUAACUCCGUGCCAGCAGCCGCGGUAAUAAGGAGGAUCCGAGCGUUAUUCGGAUUUAUUGGGUUUAAAGGGUGCGUAGGCGGCCAUUUAAGUCAGCGCUGAAAGUCUGUGGCUCAACCAUAGAAUUGCCGUUGAAACUGGGGGGCUUGAGUAUGUUUGAGGCAGGCGGAAUGCGUGGUGUAGCGGUGAAAUGCAUAGAUAUCACGCAGAACCCCGAUUGCGAAGGCAGCCUGCCAGGCCAUGACUGACGCUGAUGCACGAAAGCGUGGGGAUCG